UAGCUUAGUGGUAAAGCAACGGUUUUGUAAACCGUAGAUGUGGGUUCGAUUCCCNN
rnacentral:tRNA from 1 species